rnacentral:rRNA from 1 species
GACGAACGCUGGCGGCGUGCCUAAUACAUGCAAGUCGAACGCAGUGGGGACGGGUGAGUAACACGUGGGUAACCUCCCAUCAGAGGGGAUAACACUUGGAAACAGGUGCUAAACCGAUACUGAUGGAUGGACCCGCGGUGCAUUAGCGAGUUGGUGAGGUAACGGCUCACCAAGGCCACGAUGAAUAGCCGGCCUGAGGGGGUGAUCGGCCACACUGGGACUGGAGCACGGCCCAGACUCCUAAGGGAGGCAGCAGUAGGGAAUCUUCGGCAAUUGGGGGAACCCUGACCGAGCAACGCCGCGGGAGUGAAGAAGGUUUUCGGGUCGUAAAGCUCUGUUGUUAAGGAAGCGGUACUUAACCAGAAAGGGACGGCUAACUACGUGCCAGCAGCCGCGGUAAUAC